CAUUGUCGAAUCCUGCAAUAGCAGAAUGACCUGCUAACAUGUAAGUACAUCGGGCAAGCGUAUGGGGGCUUUGGUCCCCUGUUAGCGAAACCCUGGUAGGUGGACUCCUUUUUUGGGGCCCACUGGCCUGCAAAAUCACUCGAGCGCGGAAUGCGCCAAGGAACUUAAAACUGAAUUGUACGUUUGCAUCCCGUUAGCGGGCAGCGGCGUCUUUCCAAAACACAACGACUCUCGACAACGGAUAUCUCGGCUCUCGCAUCGAUGAAGAACGUAGCGAAAUGCGAUACUUGGUGUGAAUUGCAGAAUCCCGUGAACCAUCGAGUCUUUGAACGCAAGUUGCGCCCGAAGCCAUUAGGCUGAGGGCACGUCUGCCUGGGUGUCACGCAUUCACUUGCCCACAACCACACACUCCUUGAGGAGCUGCGUUGGUUUGGGGGCGGAAAUUGGCCUCCCAUGCCUUCUCGCAUGGUUGGCAAAAAAGUGAGUCUCUGGCUAUGGACGUCGUGACAUUGGUGGUUGUAAAAGACCCUCUUGUCUUGUCGGGCGAAUCCGGGUCAUCUUAACGAGCUCCAGGACCCUUAGGCGGCACACAUUGUGUGCGCUUCGACUGUGACCCC
rnacentral:rRNA from 1 species